rnacentral:rRNA from 1 species
CAAUAGCGUAUAUUAAAGUUGUUGCGGUUAAAAAGCUCGUAGUUGGAUUUCUGUUGAGGGUGGCCAGUCCGCACUUUGUGCGUGUAUUUGGUUCAGCCUCGGCAUCCUCCUGGGGAGCGUUUCUGUACUUGAUUGUAUGGGACGUAAUUCAGGACUUUUACUUUGAGGAAAUUAGAGUGUUCACGGCAGGCGUUCGCCUUGAAUAUGUUAGCAUGGAAUAAUAAUAUAGGACUUUGGUUCUAUUUUGUUGGUUUCUAGGACUAAAGUAAUGAUUAAUAGGGAUAAUUGGGGGCAUUUGUAUUAACGCGUCAGAGGUGGAAUUCUUGGAUUGCGUUACGACAAACUACUGCGAAAGCAUUUGCCAAGGAUGUUUUCAUUGAUCAAGAACGAAAGUAUGGGGAUCGAAGACGAUCAGAU